rnacentral:rRNA from 1 species
CUUCGGAUCGCUGACGACCGGCGCACGGGUGAGUAACGCGUAUGCAACCUACCCGUAGCUGAGGGAUAGCCCGAAGAAAUUCGGAUUAAUACCUCAUAAUAUUAUUGAAUCUCAUGGUUUAAUAAUUAAAGUUUCGGCGGCUACGGAUGGGCAUGCGUGACAUUAGCUUGUUGGUGAGGUAACGGCUCACCAAGGCCACGAUGUCUAGGGGGUCUUAAAGGAUGGUCCCCCACACUGGUACUGAGACACGGACCAGACUCC